GAUCAUGGCUCAGGAUGAACGCUAGCUACAGGCUUAACACAUGCAAGUCGAGGGGCAGCAUGGUCUUAGCUUGCUAAGGCUGAUGGCGACCGACGCACGGGUGAGUAACACGUAUCCAACCUGCCGUCUACUCUUGGCCAGCCUUCUGAAAGGAAGAUUAAUCCAGGAUGGCAUCAUGAGUUCACAUGUCCGUAUGAUUAAAGGUAUUUUCCGGUAGACGAUGGGG
rnacentral:rRNA from 1 species